rnacentral:tRNA from 2 species
GCAGUCGUGGCCGAGUAGUUAACGCGAUGGACAAGAAAUCCAUUGGGGUCUCCCCACACAGGUUCGAAUCCUGUUGACUGCG